CAGAGAUGGCUUGGUGCCUUCGGGAACUGUGAGACAGGUGCUGCAUGGCUGUCGUCAGCUCGUGUUGUGAAAUGUUGGGUUAAGUCCCGCAACGAGCGCAACCCUUAUCCUUUGUUGCCAGCGGUUCGGCCGGGAACUCAAAGGAGACUGCCAGUGAUAAACUGGAGGAAGGUGGGGAUGACGUCAAGUCAUCAUGGCCCUUACGACCAGGGCUACACACGUGCUACAAUGGCAUAUACAAAGAGAAGCGACCUCGCGAGAGCAAGCGGACCUCAUAAAGUAUGUCGUAGUCCGGAUUGGAGUCUGCAACUCGACUCCAUGAAGUCGGAAUCGCUAGUAAUCGUAGAUCAGAAUGCUACGGUGAAUACGUUCCCGGGCCUUGUACAC
rnacentral:rRNA from 1 species